rnacentral:rRNA from 1 species
GUAUGAAUAAUACGUGGCACACGGCUCAGUAACACGUAGUCAACAUGCCCAGAGGACGUGGAUAACCUCGGGAAACUGAGGAUAAACCGCGAUAAGCCAUAAUUACUGGAAUGGGUUAUGGCUUAAACCUAUAUGGCCUCUGGAUUGGACUGCGGCCGAUCAGGCUGUUGGUGAGGUAAUGGCCCACCAAACCUGUUACCGGUACGGGCUCUGAGAGGAGGAGCCCGGAGAUGGGCACUGAGACAAGGGCCCAGGCCCUAUGGGGCGCAGCAGGCGCGAAACCUCUGCAAUAGGCGAAAGCCUGACAGGGUUACUCUGAGUGAUUCCCGCUAAGGGGAUCUUUUGGCACCUCUAAAAAUGGUGCAGAAUAAGGGGUGGGCAAGUCUGGUGUCAGCCGCCGCGGUAAUACCAGCACCCCGAGUGGUCGGGACGAUUAUUGGGCCUAAAGCAUCCGUAGCCGGUCAUGCAAGUCCUCCGUUAAAUCCACCUGCUCAACAGAUGGGCUGCGGAGGAUACUACAAGGCUAGGAGGCGGAAGAGGCAAGCGGUACUCAGUGGGUAGGGGUAAAAUCCUCUGAUCCAUUGAAGACCACCAGUGGCGAAGGCGGCUUGCCAAUACGCGCUCGACGGUGAGGGAUGAAAGCUGGGGGAGCAAACCGGAUUAGAUACCCGGGUAGUCCCAGCUGUAAA